AAGUAUUCUGCUCUUUCGGUCCGUGAUACCGACUGGUACUUCCUCGUAAGAUAAGUCCUCUUGGAGUGGAAGCAGUUCAUGAGCCAAGACAUGAGAGGGGUCCGGGUUGUACUUACGUAGCAUGGAUACAUGGAACACAUUGUGGACCUUGGAGAGCUCUGGAGGCAGUGCUAGUCUGUAGGCGGCAGUACCAAUCCUGUCUAAGAC
rnacentral:lncRNA from 1 species